UACGUAGGGUGCGAGCGUUAAUCGGAAUUACUGGGCGUAAAGCGUGCGCAGGCGGUUUUGUAAGUCAGAUGUGAAAUCCCCGGGCUUAACCUGGGAACUGCGCUUGAUACGGCAGAGCUAGAGGAUGGAAGAGGGUCGCGGAAUUCCCAGUGUAGAGGUGAAAUUCGUAGAUAUUGGGAAGAACACCGGUGGCGAAGGCGGCCAUCUGGACCGCAACUGACGCGUGAGGCGGCGAAAGCGUGGGGAGCAAACAGG
rnacentral:rRNA from 1 species